rnacentral:tRNA from 1 species
GGAGAGGUGGCCGAGUGGCUCAAGGCGCCGGUCUUGAAAACCGGUGAACCGCAAGGUUCCAUGGGUUCGAAUCCCAUCCUCUCCG